rnacentral:tRNA from 1 species
UAGAUAGAAGUUCGUUGGAUUAAACGCUUAGCUGUUAACUAAGAUUUUGCAGGAUCGAGGCCUGUCUGUCUAG